rnacentral:rRNA from 1 species
GACGAACGCUGGCGGCGUGCUUAACACAUGCCAGUCGAACGGAAAGGCCCUGCUUUUGUGGGGUGCUCGAGUGGCGAACGGGUGAGUACACGUGAGUAACCUGCCCUUGACUUUGGGAUAACUUCAGGAAACUGGGGCUAAUACCGGAUAGGAGCUCCUGCUGCAUGGUGGGGGUUGGAAAGUUUCGGCGGUUGGGGAUGGACUCGCGGCUUAUCAGCUUGUUGGUGGGGUAGUGGCUUACCAAGGCUUUGACGGGUAGCCGGCCUGAGAGGGUGACCGGCCACAUUGGGACUGAGAUACGGCCCAGACUCCUACGGGAGGCAGCAGUGGGGAAUAUUGCACAAUGGGCGGAAGCCUGAUGCAGCAACGCCGCGUGCGGGAUGACGGCCUUCGGGUUGUAAACCGCUUUCGCCUGUGACGAAGCGUGAGUGACGGUAAUGGGUAAAGAAGCACCGGCUAACUACGUG